rnacentral:rRNA from 1 species
AGUAACGGCGAGUGAAGCGGCAACAGCUCAAAUUUGAAAUCUGGCUCUUUCAGAGUCCGAGUUGUAAUUUGCAGAGGGCGCUUUGGCUUUGGCAGCGGUCCAAGUUCCUUGGAACAGGACGUCACAGAGGGUGAGAAUCCCGUACGUGGUCGCUAGCUAUUGCCGUGUAAAGCCCCUUCGACGAGUCGAGUUGUUUGGGAAUGCAGCUCUAAAUGGGAGGUAAAUUUCUUCUAAAGCUAAAUAUUGGCCAGAGACCGAUAGCGCACAAGUAGAGUGAUCGAAAGAUGAAAAGCACUUUGGAAAGAGAGUCAAACAGCACGUGAAAUUGUUGAAAGGGAAGCGCUUGCAGCCAGACUUGCUUGCAGUUGCUCAUCCGGGCUUUUGCCCGGUGCACUCUUCUGCAGGCAGGCCAGCAUCAGUUUGGGCGGUGGGAUAAAGGUCUCUGACACGUUCCACCUUUCGGGGUGGACAUAUAGGGGAGAUGACAUACCACCAGCCUGGACUGAGGUCCGCGCAUCUGCUAGGAUGCUGGCGUAAUGGCUGUAAGCGGCCCGUCUUGAAACACGGACCAAGGAGUCUAACAUCUAUGCGAGUGUUUGGGUGUCAAGCCCGAGCGCGUAAUGAAAGUGAACGGAGGUGGGAACCCGCAAGGGUGCACCAUCGACCGAUCCUGAAGUUUACGGAAGGAUUUGAGUAAGAGCAUGGCUGUUGGGACCCGAGAGAUGGUGAACUAUGCUUGAAUAGGGUGAAGCCAGAGGAAACUCUGGUGGAGGCUCGCAGCGGUUCUGACGUGCAGAUCGAUCGUCAAA